CACCUACGCCCAGGUGAUUAAAAAGCUUUAUUGCUCACACAAAGACUGUUUGGUGGUCUCUUCACACGGACGCAUGUAACAUUUGGUGCUGAAGACCUGGGACAGGGGGAUUCCUUCAGGAGACUGGUCCCCUGUCCUCGCCCUCACUCCUUGAGGAGAUCCACCUACGACCUUGGGUCCUGAAAUCAGCCCAAGGAACAUCUCACCAAUUUCAAAUCAGGACCCCACUGGAAAUCAGACUGUCCAACUUGCCCAGCAGCCAUUCCUAGAGCCCCUGGAACUCUGGCCCAAGGCUCUCUGACUGACUCCUUCCCAGAUCUUCUCGGCUUAUCAGCUGAGGACUGACGCUGCCCAAUCGCCUCGCAAGCCUCCUGGACCAUCACAGACACUUCAGGGGGCUGGAGCCCUGGGCCAAGGGAGACCUGUGACCCCAGGUGCCGCCGGGAGAACUUCAGCCCAGAGGGGAAAUCAGCUCUCCGUGACCCAGCACCCCUACCCAGCAGCGCAACAGAUCCUGAGAGGAGCUACAGGAUGAUUCUAGAAACAGCGCACUUCAGGAAUCAUGUUGCAGGUGUUGUGCAUUGGAUCCACCACAGUCGGCUGAAACUGACAACUCAAGACAAGUGGACCAGCCAGCAGGACCCAGAUCAUCCAACUCGGCUGAUCCUGAGACGGGACCAAACUGCUGCCGAAGACGACCGCCCUGUUCUGGUCACUCCGGAGGCUAACCAGCCUACGCAUGGCUGAAGUUUGAGGAAACAACAAGCCCUGCUCUAGUCACACACUGAAAGCUGACUAGUCUAUGCACGGCCAAAGCUUGAGGACUCAUCAAGCAAGUAAAUGUAGUUAGAAAUCUUAGAACUAGUAGUUUUCCUUGUAAUAUUAACUGUUUUACUAUUGUUCUGUCACUGUGCUCAACCUCCUCUCCCAAAUAAGGACCUCUUCUGUCCUUACUAGAUAUGAAUAUACUGUACAUUGUUUUACUGUUGUUACCCCACUUAACCAUGCUAGAAGAAACACCCAUAGAAGGGUGUCCCCAUCGUACACAUACUACAUGGUCAGAAAACAGUAUAACCAGGACUCUAUUAUACCAUACUUAUUAUGAGUAUACAGGGACUCACCUAGGAACUUGUACUUACAAUCAGAUCACCUAUUCAAUUUAUGACCCAGGAAAUGGCCAGCUACCUAGGUGGAAGAUAGGUCAUGGAGUUACCGUACUCCUACUUACGUGCUUAAGCGCAUCAUAAGGUUACAGGCAGGGCUUGAGAUCAUCACUAAUAAACAUCAAAUGCAUUAGAUUUACUGACCCAGCAAGCUACAAAAAAUGAGGAAUGCUAUCUAUCAGAACAGAUUAGCUUUAGACUAUCUCCUAGCCCAGGAAGGAGGAGUAUGUGGAAAAUUCAAUCUAACUAAUUGUUGCCUGGAAAUCAAUGACAAUGGAAAGACAUUUAUGGAAAUAACUGCAAGAAUAAGAAAAUUAACCCACGUUCCAGUUCAAACGUAGAAAGGGUGGUCUCCAGAUUCUCUCUUUGGAGGCUGUUUUUCAUUUUUCGGAGGGUUCAAGACUUUAAUAAGAUUGAUUCUGGCCAUACUAGGAAGUUGCCUAAUACUACCUUGUCUCUUACCUCUCCUUGUUAGAAACAUUCAGUCAACUAUAGAGGCAAUAGUAGCUAGGCAAACUACCAGUCAGCUAAUGGCUCUAUGUAAAUGUCAACCUUUGUCUAAAGAAGAAAACUUGUCUCUUCAUGCAAAAUUAAAUAAUAGUGAUGCCUCCUAUUAAAUUUCUUUUAUAAAAGGCAUCAAAGGGGGGAAACUGAGGCAGAAAUUUAAAAAUAAAUAUGCAUUCAUUCACUCCAAGAAAAGUUAACAGGCAAGGCAAGGGUUAAAAAGAAAAGAACAAGUUUUCCUCGGCCUAGCAAGCUCACUUCAAGGACAGUUAUAAGAUAAUGUUGUUUGAGAAGCCAAGUCCAAAGGAAUGGGUUCCAGAC
rnacentral:lncRNA from 10 species